GACGAACGCUGGCGGCGUGCUUAACACAUGCAAGUCGAACGGAAAGGCCCUGCUUUUGUGGGGUGCUCGAGUGGCGAACGGGUGAGUAACACGUGAGUAACCUGCCCUUGACUUUGGGAUAACUUCAGGAAACUGGGGCUAAUACCGGAUAGGAGCUCCUGCUGCAUGGUGGGGGUUGGAAAGUUUCGGCGGUUGGGGAUGGACUCGCGGCUUAUCAGCUUGUUGGUGGGGUAGUGGCUUACCAAGGCUUUGACGGGUAGCCGGCCUGAGAGGGUGACCGGCCACAUUGGGACUGAGAUACGGCCCAGACUCCUACGGGAGGCAGCAGUGGGGAAUAUUGCACAAUGGGCGGAAGCCUGAUGCAGCAACGCCGCGUGCGGGAUGACGGCCUUCGGGUUGAAACCGCUUUCGCCUGUGGCGAAGCGUGAGUGACGGUAAUGGGUAAAGAAGCACCGGCUAACUACGUG
rnacentral:rRNA from 1 species